rnacentral:rRNA from 1 species
UACGAAGGGGGCUAGCGUUGCUCGGAAUCACUGGGCGUAAAGCGCACGUAGGCGGCUUACUAAGUCAGGGGUGAAAUCCUGGAGCUCAACUCCAGAACUGCCUUUGAUACUGGUAGCUCGAGUCCGGGAGAGGUGAGUGGAACUGCGAGUGUAGAGGUGAAAUUCGUAGAUAGUUCGACAAGAACACCAGUGGCGAAGGCGGCUCACUGGGCCCGGGUACUGACGCUGAGGUGCGAAAGCGUGGGGAGCAAACAGG